CGAGUUCCGGCCGGCUGGGGCUGGCCACCGGAAGCGCGGGAGCGGGCGGGGGCCCAGUGGCGCUGCCGGGCGCCGGGUUCUCAAGAGGCCGCGACCCUGGCAGCCCACCUGGGACGCCCUGGAGGGAGGCGUUCAGGCCACAGGUUUAAGACGGAGCUCCUGUGGGCCAGGGCAGCGCGUGAGGCGGGUGACGCACAGACGGCGUGGGUGAAGCCCCGCCACCCCCCAACCCCUCCGUGUGAGGGCUCGGCGCACGCGCGCCCCCCGGCCCGGAGCUCCGGGCGGAAGUCUCGGCGCCCCUGGUUGGCGGCGCUCCUCGGCCCCUGGCAGCAGCAAACGCAAGUCGUUUUGGGCGAGUUCGCUUGAAGCCCAGGUAAAGAUAGCCCCCGGCCACCACAAGGGGGCCUGCAAGUCAGGAGCUGCGAGCCGAUCAGAAAGCUCUUCCAAAGAGGCCAUCAAGAAACCCAGCUUAGUGGCAGCACCAGGAGCACAGUGAGCACGCCCUGAGGCUGUCUUACUGAGGCCUCGCCUUUCUUGGGGCUUGACUGUUGAGCUCUGCUUGGACUGUGGAGACAGGACAUUCCUGCAGUUGCAGUCCCGCACUGCACACCGACACAGGCUGUCUUUCCUGAAAAGUGUGCGUGUGCGCAGGGGCUGUGCGGAGAGGGUGAGCGAACUCGAAGCGGUCAGCUGUGAGAUGCCCGGGCCCCCUCAGAGUUCCCUCUGUGCCUCCUUGCCCCCCGGCUCCACAACCCACCAUCCAGCUGUGGACAGUGAUGAGCCAGGAGGAAAGGAGGUUUCCUAAAGUUAAGUCCGGUAUGGUUCCGACAUUAGGCUCAUACUGAGGAAUCCUCUUUUUUCAUACUUUUGCUCAAAACCUGCACGUUUCUUAUUCCCCAAAACAUUUCAUUUGGUGGGCCAUGACUUCGA
rnacentral:lncRNA from 1 species